GAUGAACGCUGGCGGCGUGCCUAAUACAUGCAAGUCGAGCGAAGAGGGGACGGGUGAGUAACACGUGGAUAAACUCCCAUAAGACUGGGAUAACUUCGGGGAAACGGAGGUAAACCGGAAAAUUUGCGAUGGAUCCACGCUGCAUAAGCUAGUUGGAAGGGUCACGGCGUACCAAGGCAACGAUGCGUAGCCGACCUGAGAGGGUGAUCAGCAACACUGGAACUGAGACACGGUCCAGACUCCUACGGGAGGCAGCAGUAGGGAAUCUUCCACAAUGGGCGCAAGCCUGAUGGAGCCACGCCGCGUGAGUGAUGAAGGUCUUCGGAUCGUAAAGCUCUGUUAGUGGGGAAGCGUUACCUAAUCAGAAAGCCCCGGCUAACUACGUGCCAGCAGCCGCGGUAAUAC
rnacentral:rRNA from 1 species